UAUAGGAGUACCCAGCAGCACAUACUUAGAUGAAGCAGGGUUUUACAUAUGAGCUUGUUUAUGCAAGAUGUUUAUAGAGACCUGCAUUGUUUGGGAGUAAAUUUUUCCUUUAGGAGUGCAUUUUGAUCCACGCUCACAUUUAGCUUUCUUUUCGAGGAUAUUUUGCCAACUAUUCUAUUAUGCGACAUGGAAAACUAUCAACACUUUAGCAAAAACCAAACUUACAUCUGUUAUGAGAGCUUGUGCUGCAAGGCUGAUUGUUGAUUCUGAAGCAGAAUGCAUUGAUUUCUAUGCUGCCGUAUAAUAUCAAUAUGAGUUGUUAAUGUAAUGUCUCUUUUAUUGUGAAUUUUAUACUUUGUAUAUUUUGUGUUGGUCCCUAAGCUCAGGUAACCGAGAACUCAAAGCAUUUGCUGUGAAUCAGCAGAAAAGAAGAUUGGGAGCUUCUGAGGGUAUCUUUGGACACAUGAAUCAUUGCUGCAAUAGGGCUUUAGCGUUGGGCUAGUACAGAAUCCGAAAACAUAUGGUGCAUCCUGUAGAAAAUAAUUCUUUGUUAAGCGUUAGUUCUACUUUAAAAAUUAGUGUACAACUUGAUGCUCACUCCAAGGUUUCAUUGUUUGGAGUGAAAUAGAGAAGUUUAUUUCACAUUUAAAAUCCUGACUUAUUGUGUCAUAGGCAUAUACAAACUAUGGAUAGCAAACAUUUAAAAUUAAGUCAAAAUUGAUGUCACUAUUGACAGUCGGUUUAUUUUCAUAAACUUUUAACAUUAUCGAAGACUUUUUUUUUUCUUCUUUAGUGUUUGUAGGCACAUUUGAGCAGCUAUGUGUUAUUGAGGAUCUGUAGGAAUGGAUGAAGACAAUGUGGCCCAACAGCUCUAAAUACUGUUACCAGCUGUAAACUAAAGAGUUUGGCAGCACAUCAUUCAAAGGAAUGGAAAGUCAAAACCAGAGCCUUUGUGUGAAAACUGAGGACAACUGGCAACUACAGUAUGUUAUUGUAAUGCCCCCAUUAUAUGGAGGCUAGCUAACAGCAAUUUAGGUUCUUUAGGUACUUCACUUUCAGAUUAACUUUUGUGUUUUCUUUUAAUUAUCUCUUUGUUUACCAGAAAUCCAUUUUUGAAUUUCAACAGCUAUGUGGUUGCUAGGGUGCUAUUUAGCUUAGCAACCAUACCAUAGUUUAAAUGAAAGACUGGAAGAUAGAUUGGGCCUCAAUAGAAAGCUAAUUAAUAACAUGUAACAAUAUUAAGAAAGCUGUAGCUUUAAAGAGCAAUGAUUUAUGGCUGCUGGAUCCUCAUUU